AUACGGAGGGUGCAAGCGUUACUCGGAAUCACUGGGCGUAAAGCGCGCGCAGGCGGUCUUUUAAGUUGGAUGUGAAAGCCUACGGCUCAACCGUAGAACUGCAUCCAAAACUAUUAGACUAGAGUGUGGGAGAGGAAGAUGGAAUUAGUUGUGUAGGGGUAAAAUCCGUAGAGAUAACUAGGAAUACCAAAAGCGAAGGCAUCUUCUGGAACACUACUGACGCUGAGGCGCGAAAGCGUGGGGAGCAAACAGGAUUAGAUACCCUAGUAGUCC
rnacentral:rRNA from 1 species